AAAAAAAUAAAUUCCACAAAUACAAAGUUUCCCCUGUAAUUGAUACUCGUACUAUCAAUCAGAAAUUCAGAAACAGAGGGGUUACUGUUUCCCUAUUUUCGAACAAAACCCAGAAAGCCAUGAAAAUUACUUCAUUGAAAUUGCUUCUCUGCUUGGUUUUCAUACCGAUUAUUACUACAUCUGGCAUGCCAAUGUCCGGAUACGGAAUAGCGAGGGCGCCCACUCGUUGUCCGCGCAUGAUUAACUGCACAAGUGUGUGUCAAGGUUUCCCAAGCCAAUGCAUCAAUGGCCAGUGCAUCUGCGAUCCGCCGCCUCCUCCUCCUGCAUCUGCAACCCUAAAUUGAAUAGAUCACUGACUAUCUUCCUGGGUAUGUGUAUUCGGGGCUUCUCUGCUCUAUAUGUAGAGAUUGAGUUGGAAUCAGUAAAACCAUGUCUUUUUUC